rnacentral:tRNA from 1 species
UAUAUUUUAGUGUACUCAUUAAAAACUUUGAAUUUUUAGAAAAUAAAUUUUUAUUUAUUAAAUAUAA